ensembl:lncRNA
AUAUUGUGGUUAUUACAGAAAUAAAAAGUUGCCAACCCCUGAAAUAAAUGGCUUCUGCACCCAAAAUCGACAGAUUCUCACAUUUGCUACAAACUCUUUCAUUGAAAGUUCCAUUCAGCGCCUUAACAUGAUGCAUUUCACCAAGAAGAUAGCUCUGAAUACUGCUGCCGCGUGUUUCUACGCACUUCUGUGGAGCAGAGGGCACCAGUAAAUAAGACGAUGCCGACCGCCGUUAAAGAAGAAGAAGAAGGCGCAGGUUUUAAUGCGCGAACUGGACUUUUAUUUUGGUGUGGUGUUGUGACGUCACACGCCUGCGCUGUUGGGAUUCGGCGGAAGAAAGGUUUGUGGAGAAAGUGUUUAAAUCUAAACAGGCGAUGUAAAUGAAAUGAUUAUUCUUGACCGCGCAGCAUCGUAAUGCUUUAUUUACCGCUAAUGCACGUUAUUUCUGUGAGCACACGAGUAACAGAAAAGAAAAGCGCGGCUCAUUUCUCUCUCAGUUCAUCACAAACACGCGUUCACAGACUCCGAGUCAAUUGAGUCAAAACGAUUCUGUGUUCAGAGUCGCUCGAGUCACCGGACAAACGAAAAACACGAUUUAUGUGAUGAAAGCACAUAUUCUCCAGAUCAACUCACCCAGAGAUGUAGUCUGUGUUAAUAAUUAUUCUCCUCUCAAACAGGACAAACACAGAGAAGCUCUUGCUGAGACGAGCUGUUAAAGAUGAUGUUUAUUAAAGAGGAGCGUGUAGACUUCAGGAUUGAAGAAGUGUUCAGUCUGAAAGAUGAAAACACGGAGGAACAAACAGCUGUGUGCAGGAAUCCUUCAAAGCUUGUCCACUGCUUGAUUUGUCAUGAGCCCCAGACCAGAAUUGAACACCAUCUAAGCAAUAUGUGCUUACGAGAUGCGGAGGAUGGCUGUAUCCAGCAAGAAGUCUUGAGUGCAAAGGAGUCACAAGAGAAGUGGAAAAGAGAGGGGAGGAUUAUGAAUCUUUCUGAGGUCAAGAAAUUGGUCAGGGAAGACCCAUCUUGUGACUCCUUGGCAGAGUACUUCCGGUCAAAGGGAUUCCUCAUCAAAGAAGAGCGUGACAGGUACAGAAGUGUGUGAAUGGAGAGGGAAAUAGGCAUUGUAAUUCAUUUCUGAUGGGUGUUAUAGACUGUACAAGGGUGUGUUAGUCAUACCAUAGUAAUGGACCCUUUGAUUCCUCCAGCACUGCAAGCCAGGAGUCCGAAUUGCUUGCUCUCAUUGAGGAGGACAUGGGUGAGGUGUCCAAACGCCUCAGCCAACAUAAACGGGUCCCUGCAAAGACCAAGACGGUCUUUCGUAGCUUCUGUCUCGCCACAGUGAUGUGGGUCCAUCACCUGGGUCCUACGAGCAUUAAAGAGUUCAAGGUGAGCUCACUGAUGACAUAUUUUAGACAUAUUCAAACACAGAUAUAUUAGGUCUUGUGAGGUGGAGGAAUAAGUGUGCGUUACAUCGGAGCCUUAUCAUUCUUGUCUGAAUGUUCGCACAGGUCCAGGAAUGGAACGACAGGGUGAUGGAGGGAGAUGGAGUCGUUGUAAAGCUGUCCAAAGGAAGCAUAAAGUUGAACAAAAAAGAAGAACACGUAAGAUGAUCCUCUACACACCACACUAUUAGUUCAUUAACAGUCUUUAUCACAGCUAACACUCGUAACAAAUCUUUGCCGUAGUGGUUGGACUGCUACUUCAAGCACAUCCGGCCUGAAUAUUUAAAUGCUCAACCUCUGAAGGGAGACGACAGGGACCGGUUCUUCCUGGGAGCUUCGGGACUUCCUCUUUCUAACCCAACGGCCGAUGUGCACCGACUACGAGAAAAGCAAGUAUUCUAGUGAGUGGUUCUUGCGGAUACUAGGGCUGUGCAUCACCAACAAUAUCACAACGAUACAUACCACGAUACUAUAAAGCCACGAUACUAAAGCCAUGAUACUAAAGUCACGCUACUAAAGCAACGGUACGAUACGUAUCACAAUACUAAAGCCACGAUACGAUACGUAUGACAAUACUAAAGCCAUGAUAUUAAAGUCAUGUUACUAAAGCAACGGUACGAUACGUAUCACGACACUAAAGCCACGGUACGAUACGUAUGA